rnacentral:rRNA from 1 species
AACGAACGCUGGCGGCGCGUCUUAACCAUGCAAGUCGAGCGGCAGGCAGCAAUGCCGAGAGCGGCGGACUGGUGAGUAACACGUGGAUAACGUACCCCGAUGUCCGGGACAGCCUGUAGAAAUAGAGGGUAAUACCGGAUAGAUCACUGUUUACGUGAGGUAGACAGCGGGAAAGGAGCUUCGGCUCCGCGCCGGGAUCGGUCUGCGGCCCAUCAGCUGGACGGCGGGGUAAAGGCCCGCCGUGGCGAGGACGGGUAUCCGGCCUGAGAGGGCGGACGGACACAUUGGGACUGAGAUACGGCCCAGACUCCUACGGGAGGCAGCAGGUAAGAAUAUUCCGCAAUGGGGGGAACCCUGACGGAGCGACGCCGCGUGAACGAAGAAGGCCGGAAGGUUGUAAAGUUCUUUUCUGUCCGAGGAAUAAGUUUCGGAGGAAAUGCCGGGACGGUGACGGUAGGGCAGGAAUAAGCACCGGCUAAUUACGUG